rnacentral:rRNA from 1 species
GCCUAGUAACGGCGAGUGAACAGGCAAGAGCUCAGAUUUGAAAGGCACUUUUGUGCCGUUGUAUUCUGAAGUUAGGGUCCUGAGAAACGAUGCUUAAGUCUUCUGGAAAGGAGCGCCAUGGAGGGUGAUAGCCCCGUCUAGCAUUGACCUCAUAUAGGAUCUUAACAUGGAGUCGAGUUGUUUGGGAAUGCAGCUCAAAUGGGUGGUAUGCUCCAUCUAAAGCUAAAUAUCUGCGAGAGACCGAUAGUAAACAAGUACUGUGAGGGAAAGAUGAAAAGAACUUUGAAAAGAGAGUGAAAAAGUACGUGAAAUUGUUGAAAUGGAAGGGUAGGCCGCUAACCAUGUAGAGCCGUGUUUGGGGGGAAGAUAAAUGCUGUAGAAUGUAGCUCCUCGGAGUAUUAUAGAUGCAGUUCAUAUUCCCACCCGAGCGCGAGGAUCUCAGGUUCUACUAAAUGGUGGUCUACCACCCGUCUUGAACCACGGACCAAGA